AAUUUAAAAAAUACUGUUGGCAUUAUUUCCUCCAACUCCAUCACUAAAACAGUGAAAGGCUGACGGCGUUUUUGUUGUUUGAACUGCAGAUUUAACCCCGUUAAAGGGGCGAUUGUUCAUUUUGUCUGUGCCCACCCGGAUCUGUGUUUGUUUUGUGUCCUUUCUUUAUGAGUUGGUAGGUAGAUUAUUAAGGGUGUUUUACGAACCAAAAUGAGGCAUCAUUUGGCUCCAGUGUAAAAUGAAUUUGUUCCUCUGCAGUCGACUGUCAAUUUCUCAGCCCCGAGGUACAGUACAUUCCAGGGCUGUGUCUGUAGAUGAAAAGACUCCGUUUCACUAAAGAGGGCAAGUGGAGACAGGUUCCACAUGCCUACCCAGGAAGGUAUCAGUGGGACAAAUGACCUACAUUACCUCAUCUACCAGUGGUGGAUACUAAAACUUAUUUUUCUCUUAACGGGUGGAGUACGUCAGUGUAUAUUGGGCAGAAGGUCCCCGGUUCAUCUGGAUGAGUACGGGACCUACUGUGUUUUAACAGGGACAUUGUAAAGUGAACAUCUGGAGUCAAUAUCGGCCUAUUCACAAUGGCUAUUUUCUGACCUUGUUCCUGCAAAGAAUGACAGCGGGGGAAAGAAAUGGCGGAGAAAUGGUUGUGGAUGUUAAUACCACGGAGGGGAUGCUGGAGCUCACGUGGGAAAGGUGCUGGACAAGAGGAAGAAAGACAUGUGAGAGCCAAUGACAGGGACUACAAUGAAAAGUUCCCAUAUGCUGACAAUCACAUCAGAACCUGCAAGUACAAUGUCUUCACCUUCCUGCCCAUCAAUCUGUUCGAACAGUUCCAGAGAGCAGCUAAUGCAUACUUCCUAGUGCUGCUCAUAUUACAGUUGAUCCCUGAGAUCUCCUCCCUGUCCUGGGUCACUACCACUGUGCCUCUGGUCAUGGUGCUGUUGAUCACUGCAGUUAAAGAUGCCACUGACGACUAUUUCAGGUAUAAAAGCGAUCAGCAGGUCAACAGUCGUCAGUCUCAGGUACUCAGGGGAAAUCUACAGAAUGAGAAGUGGAUGAAUGUACGCGUGGGAGAUAUCAUCAAGCUGGAAAACAAUCACUUUGUGACAGCUGACAUUCUGCUGCUCUCUAGUAGUGAACCAUAUGGACUGUGUUACAUAGAAACGGCUGAGCUAGACGGGGAGACCAAUCUGAAGGUUCGUCAGGCUUUGACUGUGACCUCAGACUUGGGAGCAGACAUAACAAAGCUGGUUGACUUCAAUGGAGAAGUUAUCUGUGAGCCUCCCAACAACAAGCUGGACAAGUUCACAGGUACUCUGUACUGGAGAGAUAACAAGUACCCUCUGGAUAAUGAAAAGAUGCUGCUGAGAGGCUGUGUGCUCCGGAACACGGAGUGGUGCUUCGGAAUGGUCGUCUUUGCUGGGCUGCAAACCAAACUGAUGCAGAACUGUGGGAGGACUAAAUUCAAAAGGACCAGCAUUGAUAAACUGAUGAACACUUUAGUUUUAUGGAUAUUUGGCUUCCUAGUCUGCAUGGGUGUGAUCCUGGCUAUUGGCAACACCAUCUGGGAGCAGAAGGUUGGGAGGAGCUUCAGUGUCUAUCUCCUGUGGGAUGAACCAAUCAGAAACAACAAUGUGGUGUUCUCUGGGUUCCUCACCUUCUGGUCUUACAUCAUCAUCCUCAACACAAUGGUGCCCAUCUCUCUCUACGUCAGUGUGGAGGUUAUUCGUCUGGGCCACAGUUACUUUAUUAACUGGGACAGGAAGAUGUAUUACAUCCAGAAGGACACUCCAGCUGAGGCCAGAACCACCACGCUCAAUGAGGAGCUGGGUCAGGUGGAGUUUAUCUUCUCAGACAAGACAGGAACUCUCACACAAAACAUCAUGGUCUUCAACAAAUGCUCCAUCAACGGGAAGAGCUAUGGUGAUGUGUAUGAUGAAUUCGGCCAUAAAGUGGAAAUUACAGAGAGAACGGCCUGUGUAGAUUUCUCUUUCAACCCUCUGAGUGACAGGAAGUUUAAGUUUCAUGACCAUAGCCUGUUGGAGGCCAUCAAGAUGGAGGAGCCAUCAGUGCAGGACUUCUUCAGACUGCUGGCUUUGUGUCAUACUGUCAUGCCUGAGGAGAAGAAUGAAGGGGAUCUGGUGUACCAGGCCCAGUCGCCUGACGAGGGAGCCCUUGUCACGGCCGCACGGAACUUUGGCUUUGUGUUUCGUUCCAGAACCCCGGAGACCGUCACGCUGUACGAGAUGGGGACGGCCGUCAACUACCAGCUCCUGGCCAUCCUCGACUUCAACAACGUGCGCAAGAGAAUGAGUGUCAUUGUGAGGAACCCAGCGGGCCACAUCAAGCUGUACUGUAAAGGAGCUGACACCAUCAUCUUCGACAGACUGGACCCGUCCAACCAUGUUCUCAUGAACACUACCUCAGAGCAUCUUUACGAGUUUGCUGGUGAAGGCUUGCGAACACUGGCCCUGGCCUACAAAGACCUAGAUGAGAAUGUAUUAGAGGAAUGGAUGAAGAGGCUCCUGUAUGCCAGCACUGUGAUAGAGAACAGAGAGGAGGGACUGGCUGAUCUCUAUGAGGAAAUAGAGACAGGCCUCAUGCUCCUAGGAGCCACAGCAGUAGAAGACAAACUGCAGGAGGGGGUUCCUGAAACAAUCGCCUGUUUGACCCUGGCCAACAUCAAGAUCUGGGUUCUCACUGGGGAUAAGUUAGAGACGGCGAUGAACAUCGGCUACUCCUGCAACAUGCUGAGAGACGAUAUGAACGAAGUGUUUAUCAUAUCAGGACAUUCCGUCUUAGAGGUGCAGCAGCAACUCAGGAGUGCUAAGGAGCACAUCCUGGGCCUGGGCAGGGUCAGCGGUACUGUAGAUGUGGAGAAGGCAGAUGACUUCUCAGACGAUUCUGUAUUUGAAGAAACCAUCAUAGCAGAGUAUGCCUUAAUCAUCAAUGGACACAGUCUGGCCCAUGCCCUGGAGCCUGAGCUGGAGCAGGUCCUUCUGGAGACUGCCUGUCUGUGUAAGACUGUGAUCUGCUGUAGGGUGACUCCCAUGCAGAAGGCCCAGGUGGUGGAGCUGGUCAAGACGAACAAGAUGGCUGUGACUCUGGCCAUAGGAGACGGAGCCAAUGACGUCAGCAUGAUCAAGACUGCUCAUAUAGGUGUAGGUAUAUCAGGUCAGGAGGGCAUGCAGGCUGUGCUAGCCUCCGACUACUCCUUUGCCCAGUUCCGCUAUCUGCAGCGUCUCCUGCUGGUCCACGGCCGCUGGUCCUAUUUCCGCAUGUGCAACUUCCUGUUCUACUUCUUCUACAAGAACUUUGCCUUCACCCUGGUGCACUUCUGGUUCGGCUUCUUCUGUGGUUUCUCAGCUCAGACGGUUUAUGACCAGUGGUUUAUCACUCUCUUCAAUAUAGUCUACACAUCCCUGCCAGUUCUGGCCAUGGGGCUUUUCGAUCAGGAUGUGAACGAAGCCAACAGCCACCGCUACCCUAGCCUGUACCGUCCAGGACAGCUCAAUGUCCUGUUCAACAAGAGACAGUUCUUCCUGUGUACGCUACAGGGGGUGGGCACCUCCUUCCUCCUCUUCUUCAUCCCCUACGGAGCCUUCUGCCUCGUCGCCAGGGACGACGGAUCACACAUCUCAGACCAGCAGGCUUUCGCCGUCAUCAUAUCAACAUCCUUGGUCAUAGUGGUGAGCGUUCAGAUUGGACUGGACACCUACUAUUGGACAGCUGUGAAUCACGUAUUUGUGUGGGGUAGCCUGGCUGUCUACUUUGCCAUUCUAUUCGCUAUGCACAGUGACGGCCUCUUCAGCAUAUUCCCCAGCCAUUUUCCUUUCAUUGGCACAGCCCGUAACUGUCUGACCCAGAAGAGUGUGUGGCUGGUUAUAAUGCUGACCACCGUGGCGUGUGUCAUGCCAGGGUUGGCAGUCCGCUUUCUGAAGACAGACCUUUACCCCACUCUGACAGACAAGGUGCGAAGCCUGCAGCAGGCCAGCAGAAAGCUGGGUCCCAAGGAGCAGAACCUGAGACGUGUUCGGAGGACCAGCUCCCGGCGCUCAGCCUACGCCUUCUCCCACCAACAGGGCUAUGGAGAGCUCAUAACCUCAGGGAAGAACAUGAAGGUCACCCCCAACACCGCUGCCCCGUCCCCAUCCCUGUCCCCAUCGUCCCCUGGAAGGGUCCACAACAGCAGAAGUUUGAUAGAGGGCAUGUCGAAGAGGAAGGGGGAAACACCGGUAGCCUGUGUCUCUGCUGAGGCCUACGGAACAUCCGGAACCUCGGAAGGCAACACUAGAACUCAACAGACUGUAAUGGAUUCUAAUGUUGUUUCCAAUGGGGCCAUUCAGACAUGACCCUUUACGAUCUGUUUUUAGAUUCCUAACAAGCUGUUUAGACUAUAAGAUGAUCCUGUGCAUCUACACCUGGCUCAGUGAGUAAGAGUUAGAGCAUGGUGCGGUCAACAUCAGGGUGGGGUUCGAUUUCCCACAUUGGAUCGAUCGGCCACAUAUACAGGUAACUGCCAAAGUAAUGGAAACACUUGAGUAAAUGAGUGUUCUGGCGACUCUGUUAUGGUGCGAGGUGUGUUUCCCUGCCAUGGUUUAUGUCCACUGAACCCCCUUAGAGAGCAAGGUAAACUCCAAUAAAUACACAGUCAUUCUGAGUGAUACACAGCCAUUUCUAUCCUGAUGGGAGUGGUCUCUUCCAGGAUGACAAUGAAACCCUAUCCACAGGGAACGAGUGGUCAAAGUAUGGUUUGAUGAGCAUGAAAACGGUGUAAACCAUAUGCCCAAGGCCAUCUCAGUCAUCAGAUCUCAAAACAAUUGAACACUUCUAGAGCGGUGCCUGAGACAACAUUUUACACCACCAUCAAAAAAACAACACCAAAUUGAAAAUUAUUGUGGACGAAUGGUGUCGCUACCCUCCAAUAGAGAUUCAGGCAUUUAUAGAAUCUAUGCCAAGAGGUGCUUUAAAGCUGUUCUGGCUCGUGGUGCCCCCAACGCCCUAUUAAAACACUUUAUGUUGGGGUUUCCUUUAUUUUGGCAGGUACAUGUUUGUCACUGUCAAUGUUGACAGUUCUGUGAGUCACUUUGGAUAAAAGCGUCUGGUAAAUGACUAUACUGUGGGCACUGGACAAGCAGCAGCACACAAGAAAAUGGAGAGUAAGUCAAACUCAAUCAUCAGAGGACAUGAGCGCACCAGCAAGCAGGCUCCAAAAGAACCAGCACAGGAACCAGCACAGGAAUAUCCAAUCAGUUACUGCUCUGGGAUCAACUCAUGUUCAGAAAGAUCACUGUAGGCUCUAGUCCAUCUGAAUCAGUGGAGCGUUACAGAUUUAAAUUCUAAGGUCAUUUUUUACUAUUGAGCCUUCGUCAGCAGUGUUUACCGUGAAUGCAGUCUCCGCUAACAUUGCCUUUAAAUUGAAAUCACACUGUAACGCUUAAAUUCCGCGAUACGGAUUGAAUAGAGACCUAAGCAUUGGAGUUUAGAUUUUUGGUGGAGAUCUCCUUUUCAAUAAAUGUAGGAGUAGAUAGAUUUUUCAGUAGCCUGGACUGGACAGGUAUGAGUUUGGUAUCAUAGCCACAUUAAACAGUGAUAAAAUACAGGUAUGUACUUCAGGAUGCUUUAGGAAAACAUUCAGCACAACUCUAUCAUUGUUAGAACACUGUGUUACAAAUCAUCUUUUGCCGAUGACCAUGAAUAUGCUAAAUGUUAUUUAAAAAUUCAAAACAAUUCUGGUUUUGCACAUACAGUAAGUCAUCGUGAUAAUUAAAUUAAAAUCAGAUAGAAACUACCUCAACAAAGAUGAGGUGUAGAAUGCUGACUGAAAGAAUGUUCUGAAUGUUUUUGAGGUUUAGAAUGCUGACUGAAAUAAUGUUCCGAAUGUUUUUGAGGUUUAGAAUGCUGACUGAAAGAAUGUUCAGAAUGUUCUUGAGGUUUAGAAUGCUGACUGAAAGAAUGUUCAGAAUGUUCUUGAGGUUUAGAAUGCUGACUGAAAGAAUGUUCAGAAUGUUCUUGAGGUUUAGAAUGCUGACUGAAAGAAUGUUCAGAAUGUUCUUGAGGUUUAGAAUGCUGACUGAAAGAAUGUUCAAGAUGCAUGUUUUUACCUUUAAUGGAGAGAACAUAAUUGUGCCUUUUACUAAUUUAAGCAUUUAUCACACGUCUGAACAUAGACAUAACUGUUCAAUAGUCACAGGAGGUUGGUGGCACUUUUAUUGGGGAGGAUGGGCUUGUGGUAAUGGCUGGAGCGGAAUAGGUGGAAUGGUACCAAAUACAUCAGACACAUGGUUUCCAGGUGUUUAAUGCCAUUCCAUUUGCUCCGUUCUAGCCAUUAUUAUGAGCCGUCCUCCCCUCAGCAGCCUCCACUGGUCAAGGUCUUUGUCAUAAGUUGGCUUUAUCCUUCAUUUACAUUUAAAGGUGCAACCUGCAAUAGUUACAGGCAGCUGUUCAAUGUUCGUUGUAUACCAAUUGCUUUUUAAAGAAUAUCAUGUUGAUCUGAUGGUCUGUAAAGACCGUAAAGCGCCAUCUAUGAAUUUAGGUAUUGAUUUAAUUUCUCAAGCCCCAUCCCUCAGCUUUAUGGCUAACACAGUGGUGGGGCUGCCGUUCGGCUGGAAAAGUGAAUCACAGAUUGAGACUUUAAAACGGUAUGAAGAGAAGACUUUCCUGUCAACUUCCUGUAACGAAGGGGAAUCCAUACUGUAGGGAAGCUCAAUGCGAACACUCUGGCUGUCAGCAUUCUACAGCCUAACUGCCCUGUUUGGUAUUUGGUCACACACACACUCUCUCUCUAAUACAUUGUUAACCUGUCAGACAUGGAUGCUUGCAGAAUGAAAACAUUAUGUUGUUUCCAUUAGGCUUAUGCUUUGAAUGCUGAAAUUCAAUACAAUCAUUUAUCAUUUUGUUAACAUCUCGUUUUUUAUUUAUUUCUUUUUUUAAGCUAAGAAUGAAUUUCAUCUUGAAUGUGUUGGUGAUGCAUCGUUUUAUUUUACACUUUGUUUCUACCGACAAAAAACUGAAACACUGUCAUUUUUAUUUGUUAAUGUCCGCUUCUUGAACUUGGAAAUAAUGUUUUUCAACGACAGUGCGUUUUUUGUUUUUAUAUAUAUACACACAAAUAUACAGCUGUUCAUA